GCUCUCGUAGCUCAGCUGGAUUAGAGCGAUUCCCUCCUAAGGAAUAGGUCGCAGGUUCAAAUCCUGCCGGGAGCA
rnacentral:tRNA from 1 species